rnacentral:lncRNA from 1 species
GACCAAGAGGGUCAAAGUAUUGGCCACCAGGGUAAAGGUCAUUGCCUUCCCCGACUCCGGGGAGACCAUUGAUGCGGAAUCCUUCGACUAGUCCCAUGAGGACAACCUGGAACCCGAGGACAGCGAGAAUGCUUUGAGCAUGAACAAGGUUGGGGUUGCCUAGGUAGUCCAAGCCACCUUCUGAGAAAAUUUGAGCUCCUGCCUUGAACCAUACUGGUUCCUUGAAGUCAACUCUAAGCCAUUUCUCAAGGACUUCUGGGGUGAUGCAGCCUAGUGCUCCCAGCAUUGCCCAUCUUCCAUGGAUUACCUAUAAAACAAGGAAAAAUGACAUUGGAUCUAGCUUUAAAGGAGGCAAACAGUUUCAAUUGCUAAGAAGGUUUACCUCAAGAGCCCUGUUCCUAGCAAAGGCCUCAGGGUCAGCUGACAAACCGGCAGUGUCCCAUCCGUAGUCACCAGGGAACUCGCCGUUCAAGUAGGAUGGAAUCUGAGCUGAAAAGGGUCCCAAGUACUUCACUCUGUCUGGUCCAUACCACAGUUCAUUUCCCUACACAUUACAUUACAUUACACACCAAAUGCUUAGGAAAAGAUAAAAGAAAAAAAAA